UUGGAUUGAUGUGAAAUGUGAUGAAUUGUGUAGUAGUUCGGGAGUUCAUGAAUUGUCUCGAUUUUGGGAGAGUGGGAUUAGGGAAUUAGGUUGGGGGUUUUGUUCAAGUGAUAUUCUUGUGUUGGGUUCUGCCGUGGUUCCGUUUGUGUUGAUCUAUCCGAGAAUUGGACUUCCACCGAAUGCAGCCAUUGAUCUUCCCACCCCUAAGACGAUUCUAGCGAGGUUGAGUCUCGA
rnacentral:lncRNA from 1 species